UCCUGAAGCAACAUGUCCGAUGUGUCCUUGGGCAAGACACUUAACCCCAAGUUGCUCCUGCUGCUUCAUCAGCGGUGUAUGAAUGUGUAUGAAUGGGAUUAGUUACUUCUGAUGGUACAGAGCAACCUCUACCAUCAGUGUGUGAAUGUGUAGGUGUGACCUGCGGAGAAAAAGCACUUUGAGUAGUCAGAAGACUAGAAAAGAAAUAUACAAGCUCAAGUCCAUUUACCAAUUGUAUAAACUUGCCCUUUUUUCAUUUGUAUAACACUAGAGUUCCAUGAGUUAUACAAGACACUGUUAAAUCAUGAAGUCAUCCUGUAACAGAUGCUCAUCUCUGGUGUAGUUGUGCAAGCCACACCUCCUGUGCAUCUCAGCGUCUCAGCACCACAACCCUGCAAUAGGACUGCUUGUUGAGUUUUCAGAGUUUGUAACGGCUCUUCAGCUGGGAGAGAAGUUUAGAUUUAUUGUAUUUCCUGAAGAAGAAGGUGAAAGAAAACAUAUGGCCUACCACUUUUCAAGUCUUCUGACUACUCAAAGUGCUUUUACACCGCAUGUCUCUCAUACACAUUCACACACUGAUGGUAGAGGCUGCUAUGUAAAGAGACCAUCAGUAUUAACUCAUCCAUUCA